AUGGGAUUUUGGGUCAAGUUAUUGGGAUUUUGGGUCAAGAUAGUGGGAUGUUGGGUCAAGAUAAUGGGAUUUUGGGUCAACUUUGUUGGGUUUUGGGUCAAUGCAAUGGGGUUUGGGGUCGAGGAAUGGGGUUUCAAGCCAACUGAAUGGGAUUUUGGGUCAAGUUAUUGGGAUUCUGGGUCGAGUUAUUGGGAUUUUGCUCAAGAUAAUGGGAUUUUGGGUCAAGUAAUGGGAUUUCGGGUCAACUUAGUUGGGUUUUGGGUCAAGAUAGUGGGAUUCUGGGUCAAGUUAAUGGGAUUUUGGGUCGAGUUAUUGGGAUUUUGGGUCAACUUUGUUGGGUUUUGGGUCAACUCAGUUGGGUUUUGGGUCACAAUAAUGGGAUUUUCCGUCACGAUAAUGGGAUUUUCCGUCAAGUUAACGGGAUUUGGAGUCGAGCAAUGGGAUUUUGGGUUCCGUUAAUGGGAUUUGGGUUGGGAUUGGGGUCUUUUCCUGCCUACACAGCCAGGUAAAGAGUAAUGGGGCAGUGAUCACUUCCCAUGGCCGUGGACCGGAUCUUGGAAUCGCACAGCGCCGACCCCAACCUCUUGGACAGCAGGAAAUAAUCCAACCUCCAGCCCACGUUGCGUUCCCUGGCCGCCCCCAUGUAGGUCCAGAAGGUGUAAGCGUGGGGUAAAUUGGGGUAAAGCUCCCGAAACGAAUCCAGGAAGCCGGCGUCGAGCAAAGCCCCGAAUCCAUCCCUCUCCUCUUGGGUGAAACCGGCCGAACGUCGGUUGUUUUUCGGGUGCCUGAGGUCGAUUUCUUGAUGGGCCACGUUCAGAUCCCCGCAAAGAACCACGGGUUUUUGGGAAUCCAAGCCCAAAAGGAAACUUUUAAAGGCUUCGUCCCAACGUUGGCGGUAUUGGAGGCGGGUUAAACCCCGGCCUGAAUUGGGGACGUAGGCGGAAACGAUGUAAAAAGAAGGGAAUUCGGCCGUCAGGACGCGGCCCUCGGCGUCGUGUUCUUCUAUGCCUGGGGUGGGGAAGGAGGAAAU
rnacentral:lncRNA from 1 species